rnacentral:rRNA from 1 species
AAUAGAUACCCUGGUAGUCCACGCCGUAAACGAUGAGUGCUAAGUGUUGGGGGGUUUCCGCCCCUCAGUGCUGCAGCUAACGCAUUAAGCACUCCGCCUGGGGAGUACGGUCGCAAGACUGAAACUCAAAGGAAUUGACGGGGGCCCGCACAAGCGGUGGAGCAUGUGGUUUAAUUCGAAGCAACGCGAAGAACCUUACCAGGUCUUGACAUCCCGGUGACCACUAUGGAGACAUAGUUUCCCCUUCGGGGGCAACGGUGACAGGUAGUGCAUGGUUGUCGUCAGCUCGUGUCGUGAGAUGUUGGGUUAAGUCCCGCAACGAGCGCAACCCUUAUUCUUAGUUGCCAUCAUUCAGUUGGGCACUCUAAGGAGACUGCCGGUGAUAAACCGGAGGAAGGUGGGGAUGACGUCAAAUCAUCAUGCCCCUUAUGACCUGGGCUACACACGUGCUACAAUGGACGGUACAAACGGUUGCCAACCCGCGAGGGGGAGCUAAUCCGAUAAAACCGUUCUCAGUUCGGAUUGUAGGCUGCAACUCGCCUAC